AAACUUACCGUCAUAACACAGAAGCUGAUGUACAUGUUAACAACGAAGUGCUGACUAACUACAGAAUAAAAACGAAUACGGAAAACACCCUAAAUCAUAAAAGAGGCACAGCCGAACAACGUAUUAUAUGCUAGCCGAAGAGAUCGACGCACAAUGUGACAUCACAUAUAAAUUUCUAUCAAUUUCCAAACAAUAGGAUAUAGUUCAAGAUUAGGUUGGUACAUAACACUGCGAGGAGAUAACUCAGUAAAAAUCAGCUGAACGUUUUAAUUAUGUUUUAUUGUUAAAGAAAUAUUUAGCUUUUCAAUGAUCAAAAUAAGUGCAGGUCAUGCCUCUAAAUAUCAAGUGACACUUUUCCAAUAAAUUGUGUAGUUCAAGUUCUUUGAAAAUUUCCAUAUUUUGUCUAAAUUUUGUGAAAAUUAAACGAGCCAAAUUAAUUUUAGUAAAGGUGUUUGUUAACAGCAUAAGUUAAGGAGAUUGGCUUUCUUGUUGUAGAGUUUUUGGUUGAAAAAAAGGUGCCAAUGUUAAAUGUAUGACAUUUCUAGAGAAAAUCUUUUCCCGCUACAUUGCCAAAGGCUUAUAUCUUGAAAAGAAGCACAUGCAUCCUUAUUCUUGUUGAGCUUUUCUAGUUUCUUUAUUUAUAUGCUAUCAAUGUAUAAUCAGUCUUUUAAAAACUUGUUAUUUUGAGAAAGAAUAUCGAACAUCCUUAUAGACUAUGUAAUCAAGGCAACAUCAGUAUACCGCUGUUCGAAAGACAUAAAUCUAUUGAAACAAAACGAAUCCAGGAUACAAACUUACACCGAGGUAAACACAUCACUUAUAAGAGGAAAACAAAUGAUCAACAGAAACAAUAAAGUGCAACAAAAACAAAGGAUUGCAAAUACAGACAACACGUAACAACCCAUGGCUUACUCAUGACAGCAUUUAGCAACAGUUAAAAAUGAAUCGUUUGCUAUAGCAUAAAAUGUAAAGCUCUCAAUUAGUGGGUUUAUUUCUUUUUCAAUGAGGAAUAUCAAAACUUGAUCUUUGUAAAAAUACAGAAAACAUUCAACUGUGAAAUAUAACUUUAAAUUCGUUAUCAAGUAUUAGUGUUCGCUCAAGUGGAAAUUAAUAAUAAACAA